AGGGGCCAGUGUCAUUCAAAGAUGUGGCUGUGGAUUUCACCCAGGAGGAGUGGCAGCAACUGGACCCUGAUGAGAAGAUAACAUACGGGGAUGUGAUGUUGGAGAACUACAGCCAUCUAGUUUCCUUGGCUUAUGAGGUGGCAACAUCUUGUACUUCGGAGAUUCUGAAGCCGAGCAACUUGCCCAAGUCCUUCUUCUUUUCCCAUUAACAAGAUAUGAUAUCACCAAGCCAAACGUCAUCAUUAAGUUGGAGCAGGGAGAGGCGCUGUGGAUAACGGGAGGUGAAUUUCCAUGUCAACAUAGUCCAG
rnacentral:lncRNA from 1 species